rnacentral:rRNA from 1 species
AAUCAACGCUGGCGGCGUGCCUCAGACAUGCAAGUCGAACGCGAAAUUUCCCUUCGGGGAGAAAGUAGAGUGGCGCACGGGUGAGUAACACGUAGGUAAUCUACCUCUGGGUGGGGAAUAACAGCCGGAAACGGCUGCUAAUACCGCAUAAUGCAGCGGCUCGACAUCGAGACAGUUGUUAAAGCGGGGGAUCGAAAGACCUCGCGCCUGAAGAGGAGCCUGCGGCAGAUUAGCUAGUUGGUGGGGUAAUGGCUCACCAAGGCGACGAUCUGUAGCCGGCCUGAGAGGGCGGUCGGCCACACUGACACUGACAUACGGGUCAGACUCCUACGGGAGGCAGCAGUCGGGAAUUUUGGGCAAUGGGCGAAAGCCUGACCCAGCAACGCCGCGUGAAGGAUGAAAUCCCUCGGGAUGUAAACUUCGCAAGAAUGGGAAGAAUAAGUAGAGGCGAAUACUCUCUAUGAUGACGGUACC